CUCAGAUGGAAAUGCAGAAAUCACCUGUCUUCCACGUCGCUCACGCUGGGAGCUGUAGACCGGAGCUGUUCCUAUUCGGCCAUCUUGGCUCCUCCCUUAAAGUCUUAAUUUUAAAGACUUUCUGUCUUCAAAGCAUAGAGGUGAUACCAGGCAAACAGGCAGCCCAAAGCUGGACUCAGAGUACUUAUAUCCAAAAGGAAGAUGCUCACAGUCAUAAAGUGGUCCAUAGCCUCUAACAACACAGUGGUGAGGCAUGCAUUGCUCCCUGGAAAUCAAGUGCACUGCACUAUAUAUUGACUUCCGACAAUGAAAGUAUUUGGAGAAGGGCUCAGACAGUGUCACAAGCCUCAAGCAGUGCAGGCUAGAACUCACAGGCAAAAGAACGGGCAGAAUACAUGGAGACCCCAGCCUGCAGACCCUCGGCAUCACAUAGAGAGGUGUACUUGGGCCAGUCCUACAGCUUCACUUCUUUGAAAGCGCUAUCCAUCCACCACGGCGGUGGCCUUGAAGUCAGGGGCGGGCUAUGCCAUGCGCGCGAUUACGGAGGCCAUGACUGAAAGCUGCGUGGGCUAAGGCUGGACUCACGGGCAACCAGACGCGUGGACUCACGUUCUCAGGACCAAAACUGACCAUCUUAACCAACUUUACACGUAAAGUUCAGUGGUAUUAAGUACAUUCAUAUUGUUCUGUAAUUAUCACUACUAUCCAUCUUCAGAACUUUUUUCAUUCUGCAAAACUGAAACUCUAUACCCAUUAAACAAUAACUCCCCAUUCCCCUUUCCUCCCAGCCCCUGGGAACCAUAAUUCUAAUAUCAAAUUCUAUGAAUCUGACUAUUAUAAGCACCACAUAUAAGUGAAAUCAUACAGUAUUUGUCUUUUUGUGCUGGCUUAUUUCACUUAGCAUAAUGACUUCAAGGUUCAUUAAUAUUAUAACAUGUGUCAGGAUUUCCUUCUUUUUAAAGGCUGAAUAGUGAUUAUAUAGAGAGAAUAUUUUGUAUAUAUAUUAUAUAUGUAAUAUUCCAUCUCUCUCUCUCACACACACACACACACACACAUAUCACGUUUUAGUUAUCCAUUUAUCCAUAAGUGGACACUUGCCUUGCUUCCAUUUUUGGCUAUUGUAAAUAAUGUCACUGUGAACAUGGGUGUAAAAAUCUCUCUUUGAGAUCCUGCUUUUAAUUCUCUUGGGUAAACACACAAAAGUGGAAUGGAUCAUAUGGUAACUGUAUUUUUAAUUUUUUAAAGGGAUCUCCAUGCUGUUUUCUACAAUUCUACAUUAAAAAGUUGGAUUCUAGGCUGGGCAUGGUGGCUUAUGUCUGUAAUCUCAGCACUUUGGGAAGCCAAGGCGGGUGGAUCACGAGGUCAGGAGUUCAAGACCAGCCUGGCCAAGAUGGUGAAACCCUUGUCUCUACUAAAAAUACAAAAAUAUUAGCCGGGCGUGGUGGCAUGCACCUGUAAUCCCAGCUACUCAGGAGGCUGGGGCAGAGAAUUGCUUGAACCUGGGAGGCAGAGGUUGCAGUGAGCCAAGAUUGCACCACUGUACUCUAGCCUGGGUGACAGAGUCAGACUCCGUCUCAAAAAAAAAAAAAAAAAAAAAAAGUUGGAUUCUUUUAAAAAAUCUUCCAAAAGUCUAACAUGUAAGAGAAUAUCUGAAGUAAGAAAUAACAGAAACUACAGCACAGCACUGCUAUCUAUCCAAGCUGCUUUAGUCAGAUGAAUCACAGCUGGUGUUCAGAAGCCAGUUCAGUGUAAAAAAAUAUGACACACAGCCUGUGGUUCCUGAGCCUGACUGUGUGUGAGAAUCUUCACACCAGAUAGUUGAAGCUAGAACCUCUGGGAACUUGGAAUCACAUAGAGCUCCCCCAACAGUUAUAGUCCUCGCCUGGCCAUAUGUGAGGAGUCUUUUCAUGGAUUAUGAGUAUGUCCACAAACUUGGACUGAUAGUAUUGAUGCAAUUAAUAUUUACUUAAAAAUAUCUAGUUGUUUAAAUAGGUUCACAUCCAUGGAGAUACCAUGAGGCAACCAUGUACGCCCUCAGGUAACUCCAUAGUGGUAGGGCAGAUAAACUGGAGACAGGGAGAUAGACCGUGGAGCCAGACCCAACAGGAAGGAAGUGGACAAGAAAACAGAUGAGUGUGCAGGAAAUCAGUAGCUACAGAUUUCAUUGGCCCUACAUAUGGUAGUCAGGGAGAUGAGAGAAGACACAGUAUAAAAGAGGAUCCAAGAGUAAGCAAAACUUGGAAAUUUGGGAAGGCAGUUGGCAUCAGGGAAGUCCAUCAGUAGGGGGCAAGAGCAAGGCAAAAUAGGGGACAGGGGAAAAGAUACUAGGCCUAGGGGAAAUAACAUAUUAGGCAGUUCACAAAAUUAAAAAGAAAUUAGGCACAAAUGAACAACUAGGGCAUAAAAUAAGAACUAAUAUCAAAGGCAGCAUCCCCUCUUUCUGCCAUUUCUUCAUUUUGUCAUUCUUUCAUCCAUUCAGUGGCAAUUGCUGUAGACUUACUUGGUGCUUGGCAAUAUGGGUCCAGACUGCUCUUCUGGAAUCCUUUAAUCCCUUUUGUUUAAGAUAAGGAAUAGUCCAAAAAUCCUACCACAGAAUGUCAUUACUAACAACAUGUACACUGGUUGCUUCCCUUACUUUAAGUAGUGUGCAUAUGCACGUUUUCCAAACAGCCUGGGUCUGUAAAUAAAAAGUGGUCACUCUUUCAGUAGGUAUCUUAACAAUACCAUUAAAAGAGGCUUUUCACUCUGUCAGCAUUGUUUUGAAUUCCAAUUUUGCCAGUGCUUUCUUCAUUAAUUUAAGAAGUGAUUACCCAGCCAGUAGACUAUUUUUUUCCUGAUGUUCUUUUUUUCUCCUCUUCUCUCUCCUGUGCUAUGCUUUAUGAACUCUCAUUGCUCAUUAAAUUAAUGUGUGAGCAGGAGUUGGAAAAAUAACUAAACUAAAAUUAGUCAUGUUUUCUAGUUUUUACCAGUAUUGAUAUGAUUUACUAGAGAAGGAAAUUGGAACUGUGAACUAAAAUUAAGCUUUUGAAUUAUCGGAAGAUUUCAUUCAUCCUUGUUAUUCCCAACCCUAGGGAAGAACUCUGUUCACCAUGAGUGGGGAAAAAGUUUCAUGCAGUAACAUAAUCUAGUUUUAAAUGCUUUUUCUGAAUUCUGAACAAGCAUAAAUUGUCUCUAUUUCUUGAAAUUUAGGUUAGCAAUCUUAAUUUAAAAUAUGCUGCCCAUAAUUUCAUCAUUUGUGAAUGUGUUAAUU
rnacentral:lncRNA from 10 species